rnacentral:rRNA from 1 species
UAGUAACGGCGAGUGAAGCGGCAACAGCUCAAAUUUGAAAUCUGGCCUCCCUUGGGGGUCCGAGUUGUAAUUUGCAGAGGGUGCUUUGGCGUCGGCAGCGGUCUAAGUUCCUUGGAACAGGACAUCACAGAGGGUGAGAAUCCCGUACGUGGUCGCCUGCCUUCGCCGUGUAAAGCCCCUUCGACGAGUCGAGUUGUUUGGGAAUGCAGCUCUAAAUGGGAGGUAAAUUUCUUCUAAAGCUAAAUACCGGCCAGAGACCGAUAGCGCACAAGUAGAGUGAUCGAAAGAUGAAAAGCACUUUGGAAAGAGAGUCAAACAGCACGUGAAAUUGUUGAAAGGGAAGCGCUUGCAGCCAGACUUGCUCGUAGUUGCUCACCUGGGUCCGCCCGGGGCACUCUUCUGCGAGCAGGCCAGCAUCAGUUUGGGCGACCGGAUAAAGGCCUCUGUCAUGUAUCUUCCUUCGGGAUGACCUUAUAGGGGAGGCGUAAUGCGGCCAGCCCGGACUGAGGUCCGCGCUUCUGCUAGGAUGCUGGCGUAAUGGCUGUAAGCGGCCCGUCUUGAAACACGGACCAAGGAGUCUAACAUCUAUGCGAGUGUUUGGGUGUCAAGCCCGGGCGCGUAAUGAAAGUGAACGGAGGUGGGAACCCUCUCCGGGGGGUGCACCAUCGACCGAUCCUGAUGUCUUCGGAUGGAUUUGAGUAAGAGCAUAGCUGUUGGGACCCGAAAGAUGGUGAACUAUGCUUGAAUAGGGUGAAGCCAGAGGAAACUCUGGUGGAGGCUCGCAGCGGUUCUGACGUGCAAAUCGAUCGUCAAAUUUGGGCAUAGGGGCGAAAGACUAAUCGAACUAUCUAGUAGCUGGUUCCUGCCGAAGUUUCCCUCAGGAUAGCAGUAACGUAUUCAGUUUUAUGAGGUAAAGCGAAUGAUUAGAGGCCUGGGGGUUGAAACAACCUUCACCUAUUCUCAAACUUUAAAUAUGUAAGAAGUCCUUGUUACUUGAU